CGAAUGCUGACGUGAGUAACGACAAAACGGGUGAAAAACCCGUUCGCCGAAAGACCAAGGGUUCCAGUCCAACGUUAAUCGGGGCUGGGUGAGUCGACCCCUAAGGCGAGGCCGAAAGGCGUAGUCGAUGGGAAAAUGGUUAAUAUUCCAUUACUUCUGUGUAAUGCGAUGAGAGGACGGAGAAGGCUAAAUCAGCCUGGCGUUGGUUGUCCAGGUGAAAGGAUGUAGGCAUGUAUCUUAGGCAAAUCCGGGGUACUCUAUGCUGAGAUCUGAUAGCAAGCUGUACUUGUACAGCGAAGUGGUUGAUGCCAUGCUUCCAGGAAAAGUCUCUAAGCUUCAGUUACACAGGAAUCGUACCCGAAACCGACACAGGUGGUCAGGUCGAGUAGACCAAGGCGCUUGAGAGAACUCUGCUGAAGGAACUAGGCAAAAUGGUACCGUAACUUCGGGAGAAGGUACGCUGUUGUUGGUGAUGGAACUCGCUUCCUGAGCUGACGACAGCCGCAGAAACCAGGCCGCUGCAACUGUUUAUUAAAAACAUAGCACUCUGCAAACACGAAAGUGGACGUAUAGGGUGUGAUGCCUGCCCGGUGCUGGAAGGUUAAUUGAUGGGGUUAGCGUAAGCGAAGCUCUUGAUCGAAGCCCCAGUAAACGGCGGCCGUAACUAUAACGGUCCUAAGGUAGCGAAAUUCCUUGUCGGGUAAGUUCCGACCUGCACGAAUGGCAUAAUGAUGGCGGCGCUGUCUCCAGCAGAGGCUCAGUGAAAUCGAAAUCGCUGUGAAGAUGCAGUGUACCCGCGGCUAGACGGAAAGACCCCGUGAACCUUUACUGCAGCUUGACACUGAACUUUGACCUUACUUGUGUAGGAUAGGUGGGAGGCUUUGAAGCUGGAACGCUAGUUCCAGUGGAGCCGUCCUUGAAAUACCACCCUGGUAAUGUUGAGGUUCUAACUCUGUCCCGUGAUCCGGGACGAGGACCGUGUCUGGUGGGUAGUUUGACUGGGGCGGUCUCCUCCUAAAGAGUAACGGAGGAGUACGAAGGUGCGCUCAGCGUGGUCGGAAAUCACGCGUAGAGUAUAAAGGCAAAAGCGCGCUUAACUGCGAGACCCACAAGUCGAGCAGGUACGAAAGUAGGUCUUAGUGAUCCGGUGGUUCUGUAUGGAAGGGCCAUCGCUCAACGGAUAAAAGGUACUCUGGGGAUAACAGGCUGAUACCGCCCAAGAGUUCAUAUCGACGGCGGUGUUUGGCACCUCGAUGUCGGCUCAUCUCAUCCUGGGGCUGAAGCAGGUCCCAAGGGUAUGGCUGUUCGCCAUUUAAAGAGGUACGCGAGCUGGGUUUAGAACGUCGUGAGACAGUUCGGUCCCUAUCUACCGUGGGCGCUGGAAAUUUGAGAGGAUCUGCUCCUAGUACGAGAGGACCAGAGUGGACGAACCUCUGGUGUACCGGUUGUGACGCCAGUCGCAUCGCCGGGUAGCUAUGUUCGGAAGGGAUAACCGCUGAAAGCAUCUAAGCGGGAAGCCUACCUCAAGAUAAGAUUUCCCUAGGACUUUAUGUCCUCUAAAGAGCCGUUCGAGACUAGGACGUUGAUAGGUUGGAUGUGGAAGCAUAGUGAUAUGUGAAGCUGACCAAUACUAAUUGCUCGUGAGGCUUGACUAUACAACACCCAAGCAGUUG
rnacentral:rRNA from 1 species